AUUCGAUUGUGCCAGCAGCCGCGGUAAUACGGAGGAUGCGAGCGUUAUCCGGAUUUAUUGGGUUUAAAGGGUGCGUAGGCGGGGACUUAAGUCAGCGGUGAAAGUUUGAGGCUCAACCUUAAAAUUGCCGUUGAAACUGGGUUUCUUGAGUGUAGAUGAAGUGGGCGGAAUUUGUGGUGUAGCGGUGAAAUGCAUAGAUAUCACGAAGAACUCCAAUUGCGCAGGCAGCUCACUAAACUACCACUGACGCUGAAGCACGAAAGUGUGGGUAUCAAACAGGAUUAGAUACCCUGGUAGUCCACGCCGUAAACGAUGAGUGCUAGGUGUUGGGGGGUUUCCGCCCCUCAGUGCUGAAGCUAACGCAUUAAGCACUCCGCCUGGGGAGUACGGCCGCAAGGCU
rnacentral:rRNA from 1 species